AUUAAAUUUCAUGCAAAUCAAUUUGAUUUUGGGGGACAUGUAAAAGAACCGAAUAUCUAAAUAGUGAUAGUCCAUGCGGAAUGACGGUUUGAAUGUCACAGAAUAGGUAUUUAUAACGCGAAGUCAAGAAUAGUAUUGUGUGCAACGUGUGAGAACUGUACGCCACUGGCCUGGAAUACAGCGGUGGUUCUGUUUACGCUUUAGAAGAGCAAUUUAGGGCGGUGUUGAAGGGAAGCCGAUUCAAGUGGGCUGCAGUAGUAGUAGUGCUGAGUGCACACGUACGCACGUGGCGUACGCUGUCGUACGCGCGCCGACCAGCGUAGUAGUACGUUGCUGGAGUGAGUAUUUCCCUUUCGAGUUGUUUUGCUCCACUCCAGGCCCCGCGGCCCGUUCCUAAUCCUAUCGUCCGGGCCCGUCUUUUGUGUGCCACUCGCCGCCGCCACUCUUCAGUCUUGUUCGCUUAUCCGUCCUCGCAGAUGCUGUCUCCGCGACGUGCUCGGCAUUGGUGCUGUGUUCUGUGAACAGGGCGUCGAGUGAAAUUGGUGUCUGGAAGGAAUACGUCCCAGAAUUGAUUUGUUCUGUGCGGAAACCGAGAUUUGCUUUCGAGUGCCUCUUCUCGAGUCAUCCCUUGCCACAUCUCGCGAUUUCGAUUUUCGGAUACCAGAUCGAUAAUUGGUACUUUCGCCGUCGAAGGUGAAGGAAAAGUGAUCUCUGCAUGUAGUGCGGGUCGGGAGUGCUGUCACUUGGCUUCUACCUGUGCCGCGGAGCUCCGUGUGAACCAGUUCUCGGUGCGACGACACCCGUGGAAUUUAAUGGACAACCGACAGCCGAGGCAAGGCUGAGUGCGACUGACUCGAGCACCAACACCAGGAAGCAUCAUGACGGAGCUGAAGGAGAGCCUUCCCAGGUCGGGGCAUGUAACCGAAGUAUGCAAGGAGUGGUUAGUACGAGAGGAUGGAGCAUUGGCGUAUCAACUUCAAUCUCAAGAAAUAAACGAAUUCUACAAUGGGAAUCGAUUCCGGAACGCCGUGGUAAGACAGGAUUUCCCAACCGCGUUGCAUGAGCAAAUCAAGGAACGAGAGGACGCUGUGAAACAAGCAGAGCUUCACCACAUGCAGCUGUUGGAGCAAGAACGUGCUGAUGCUGAACUAGCAAAAGAGAUUGCUGACAAAUUAGAAUUUGAUCGAGAGCGAGAACGGUUAAGGGAGUGCACUAAAAACGAAUCGGUGGCCAAAUUGCUACAGCGCACCUACAUUGAAAGAGCGCAGGUGAAAGACAAUGCUGAUUAUCCGACACCAUCACCCUCAAAUGUUGCACAUAGAAAUCUAUUACAUUAUCAACAGCACGGUGAUGUUGCAAAUAUACGGGCCACAAAAGAUUUAGAUUUGCACGUGCCUAAAAUUCAACAACAUAUGAGAGCACCCAAUAACAACCCCACGCUUCCACCUUGCUUUGAAAAUGCUAAUAUGAUUUAUAAACCGCUGCCACCCGUUCCACCACCUGCUAGAAAUGCUUUACCGCCAAAACGUGUUCCUCAAAUCCCCCAAAAUAGUCCUCCUCUCCAGCAUUGCCCCCUUAGUGAUCGAAAGGGUUUUCCGAAUGACAAUUCCCUCCAUUGCGAUAACGUAGCUGAAAGUAUUAGACAAUAUAACUUGAACGAUAACCUGGCAUCCGAAUCAAGAUCUGCUCACCUAAAAGCACACCAAUUACAGCUUUCCCCAGAGAAAUAUGAUUACAUAAUGCAAAAUUUGCAACUGGAUAAUAUGGACGAGGUGGUUUUUCCUGAAGAUGUGAAAACCAUAGAUGACUCCCGCCAGAAUGUUACAGCUAAUGGGAUGCGACUAAAUAAACCUUCGCUUGCAAAUAUAAAAAAUGUUACAGCCCUAAAAGAUUUGGGGAUUCCUCCGGAAGAAGUUUUGGAGUUGGACAGAAAAUUAGAACAAGAGAAACGUGAUGAGGAGUUGGCUGUUCGUCUACAAAAGGAAGAAGCUAGGGAAUCUUUGUCACAGGAGGAACGAGAUAGAUUAUUGGCAAUCGAAGCUCAAGACAAAGAAUUGGCUAAAAUGCUGCAAGAAAGGGAACGGGCAAAAGCUAGGCGUGCAAAAGAAAAAGCCCGUUUGAAAAAAAUGCAAGCACGACCUCAAUCCGACUUUGAGGGCCAUUCCUUUUCACAACGAUCGCCCGGAAAUUCCCAAUCGAUUCGAUCUGCUGAUUUCCUUACCGAUGGCGAUUCCUACUCAAAUCCUAUAGAUUUAAUAGCGAGUGGCCACAGUUCCCUAGAAAGUAGCUAUCGCCAUGAAAGGAUGCACAGCUCGAUAUCGGCUGAACACGCCGAACUCACCCUCAAAGAUGAUGAGAUCUACACAUUGCCCAUAGAAGAUGAAGUUAAGGUGGAAAAUCGGCCAAAUUCACUUGCAUUGCCUGAUGACGGUCAGAAACAAAUUUUAAGGAGCAAUCAAUCACCAGAAAGUAUCGGAAACAUUGCAGCAAUUAUUGACCCAACAUAUACAAGCUCUAAUGCCGCUGCUCAAGCAAACUCACCCAUGUCGGCGUCGAUGGGUUAUAAUUCAAAGAAUGCUCCCCCUUAUAUGCCAAUUCAAGGGACAAGACGGAGUGCAUCACUUGACGUUAAGAAGAAGAAACCAAAAGAUAAGUGUUCGCAUCAAUAGUUCAACAGGGUCAAAGAUAGCAUGGAGCCUCGUAGCACCUAUUUCCAUUUCUUCUGGAUACUUAAAAGGUGAAAGUGGAUAAGCAUGAAGGGAGUUUCGCAAAUGUUCGCUGACUCUAAGACGUUUGUGUUGCUGAACAUGGUUUUAAACCCUUUUUUUUUAAGUUUUUGCUUGACUACAUGAGAAUAUUUUUAUAUGAAUUUUGUGCAAAUCUUUUAUUAUAAAAUGUAAAAUUGUCGAUGCGGGAACAUUGGACUUUUCUACGCAACUCUUUCAAUUUACUUCUACUCAGACAUUUAUGUCAUAUUCAUUUAGUUUCAAGUUUUCACAGUACUGAAUGCAUUUUUAAUUAAUACCAAAAUUCUCUUUUGAGAAUUUCAAGAAACCAAAUGUUUUAGUGUGAUUUAAUGCUCACAAAGGUAAAAGUUUUUUAAUAUUUAAAUAUAAAUUCCCUAUUGGAAUUCCAAAUAUAUGUAUUUAUUACAAUAAGGAGAAAACAGAAGAAUUUACAAAAAAGUGUGCCUUACAGUUUUCAAACAGAAUUUUUUGUACUUUUUCUGAUGAGAAGAAGAAGAGCUUAUGGUGAAAUCCAUGGACGCUAACUGUAUUAUACAAGUCCGUUGAAAAUUUUCUCAGCUAUGAAGUUAGUCACAUUUGAUUCAGAGUGGUUUCUUUUCUAAAAGCAUGUUACCGUGUAGUGGCCAAUAAAUAGGGAGAAGUAAGAUGCAGUUAUGGUGGAGGAAAUACUUAGUACUCAGAUGAAAGAUAAACAAUAUCGGCAACGAACACGUUUUUUAAAUAACUCGAAAAUCUACAAAUUAGAAAUAGAUAUGAAAAAUCAUAAACCCAGAAAAAAAUUGUGGAAAUUAGCCUCUUUGGUUGAAUAAUGAUCAACCGUAGUUUGUAAUACUUGGAAGCUCAGAGAUUUUCAAAA